GCGGAUGUGGCGGAAUGGUAGACGCCCGAGACUUAAAAUCUUGUGAGGGUAUCCUCGUGCGGGUUCGAGUCCCGCCAUCCGCA
rnacentral:tRNA from 1 species